GCGACCCCAGGUCAGGCGGGAUUACCCGCUGAAUUUAAGCAUA
rnacentral:rRNA from 7 species